UUCGCAAUGCCCGAAAGGGUGACGAAGCGACGCCGCGUGUGGGAAGAAGGCCUUCGGGUUGUAAACCACUGUUGGGAGUUAGGAAAUGUAAGGGUGCUAAUAGUAUCCUUACUUGACUAAGGCUCCGGAGGAAGCCACGGCUAACUCUGUGCCAGCAGCCGCGGUAAUACAGAGGCGGCAAGCGUUGUUCGGAAUUAUUGGGCGUAAAGAGCACGUAGGCGGCCUUGUAAGUCAGUUGUGAAAGCCUUCUGCUUAACGGAAGAACAGCAGCUGAUACUGCAAGGCUAGAGUGCGGAAGGGGAGAGUGGAACUUCUGGUGGAGCGGUGAAAUGCGUAGAUAUCAGAAGGAACACCGGCGGCGAAGGCGACUCUCUGGUCCGUAACUGACGCUGAGUGUGCGAAAGCUAGGGGAGCAAACGGGAUUAGAUACCCCGGUAGUCCUAGCCGUAAACGAUGGGCACUAAGUAGAG
rnacentral:rRNA from 1 species